rnacentral:rRNA from 1 species
GAAAGGCGCUUUUGCGUCACUGAUGGAUGGACCCGCGGUGCAUUAGCUAGUUGGUGAGGUAACGGCUCACCAAGGCAACGAUGCAUAGCCGACCUGAGAGGGUGAUCGGCCACAUUGGGACUGAGACACGGCCCAAACUCCUACGGGAGGCAGCAGUAGGGAAUCUUCGGCAAUGGACGAAAGUCUGACCGAGCAACGCCGCGUGAGUGAAGAAGGUUUUCGGAUCGUAAAACUCUGUUGUUAGAGAAGAACAAGGAUGAGAGUAGAAUGUUCAUCCCUUGACGGUAUCUAACCAGAAAGCCACGGCUAACUACGUGCCAGCAGCCGCGGUAAUACGUAGGUGGCAAGCGUUGUCCGGAUUUAUUGGGCGUAAAGCGAGCGCAGGCGGUUUCUUAAGUCUGAUGUGAAAGCCCCCGGCUCAACCGGGGAGGGUCAUUGGAAACUGGGAAACUUGAGUGCAGAAGAGGAGAGUGGAAUUCCAUGUGUAGCGGUGAAAUGCGUAGAUAUAUGGAGGAACACCAGUGGCGAAGGCGGCUCUCUGGUCUGUAACUGACGCUGAGGCUCGAAAGCGUGGGGAGCAAACAGGAUUAGAUACCCUGGUA